rnacentral:rRNA from 1 species
AGAGAGAGACAUGCGCGCAUAUCAAUAAGCGGAGGAAAAGAAACUAACAAGGAUUCCCCUAGUAACGGCGAGUGAAGCGGGAAGAGCUCAAAUUUGAAAUCUUAAAGGGUUUCCCUUUACGAAUUGUAGUUUAAAGAAGUGUUUUCUGUUGAGGUUUUGGUAAAAGUUCUUUGGAAUAGGACAUCAUAGAGGGUGAGAAUCCCGUAUUUGACCUUUACUUUACAACUUUGUGAUACACUUUCAAAGAGUCGGAUUGUUUGGGAAUGCAGUCCAAAAUGGGUGGUAAAUUUCAUCUAAAGCUAAAUAUUGGCGAGAGACCGAUAGCGAACAAGUACCGUGAGGGAAAGAUGAAAAGAACUUUGAAAAGAGAGUUAAACAGUACGUGAAAUUGUCAAAAGGGAAGCGUUUGACACCAGUGUUGUUUUUCUGAAAAUCAAUUAAAGAACUGUUUAUGCUAAGUUGUUUAGACUUUAUCAGCUAACUGUUUAGUGUUGAGCUUUUCUUUAAUGCACUUUUCAGUUAACAAGUCAACAUCAAUUUCUUUUGCUGUAAAAAAGCUUGAGGAAGGUGGCUUGAGAUUCGUCUUAAGUGUUUAUAGCCUCUUGCCUAUGCAGUCGGAGAGAUUGAGGUCUGCAGCGUAGAUCCUUCGGGGCUAAAUGCAUUUGUGCUAAGUUAUAGCAUUUUAUAGACAACUUGUUGACUAUGAUUUGUCUUGUAGCUUACUCGCUUAUGUUAUUUUACCUACGCUUAGGAUGUUGAGCGCAUGUCUCUCUCU